UUUGUCGAUGAUAUUUCUUUAAUGUCGAAAACGAUAGAAAACUUCACAAGCAUGGAUAGUUUUAGUAUCUGAAUAGUUACCUUCGACUAUGGAUUGGUUUCAGACCAUACGGUCCGACGCUAGUUUGUUUUGUUUUUUCUAUUAUCUUUUCAGGUGAUAUCAGGUAUGACCCAAUAUAUUAGUACCAUGCUGGUCUCAUAGAAUAUUGAAACUGAUAUUAGAGAGAGAUUGUAGGCCUUGUUGUGUAUAUUUAUUUUAUUUCAGGAGUAAUUCUGAUGCAUCUUUGAUUUGAAUUAACCUUAUUUCUGGUAACGUAUGGAAUGUUACUUCUAGAUGAUUGUGUAACUUAGAGAAGGCACUUGGUGGGGACGUUAGGAUGUAUGAUAGAACUACUCUCAUUGUCAGUAUCUUCAACCAAAAGGGUGCAAAAUUCAUGAAGCAACCUUACAAGCAAGUGCCCACUAGGCUUUUUUCAAUUUUAGCUAUUUUAGAUUUCAUGGGAGCCAAUGUCAUGUCACUAAACAUGCAUUUGUUAUUCAUUUUUAGUUUUUGACUUCCCUGCAUUAGAUGUUAUUGUUGCUUGUUUCAUUAUACCUUAGCAACCUAAAAGUUAGGGAUGCAAUCCUAGAGACACAUUAUAUGUAAUCCAAGUUACAAAUAUUGUAUAUAUUAUUGCAGAACUCUUAGGGUCUGCUGAAAUAGAAGUUGCAUUUGACCA